CCCUGCUGUAUAGUCCAAAACCACUGCACGAUGUCUCUGUGCACCAAAUACUGGCGAGAUGGCACCGUGUUGAAAAGUCCAAACAGUGUCUGUGAGUUAAAAUGGCCGCCAUCCAUUGUUCCCACCAUGUGCUUCUGAUACAGGAAAUGGUGGCCACCCAGUAACUCCACAGUAUGUCCCCAGAUGCUUCUUAAAGGGCCAGCAGCAGCACAACACAAAUCCAUUAUGCCCAAAUCAUGUCUUUAAAGGGCAAUACAUCCCAGGGGCCGUAGUCACAGGGCAAGAGGCGGGCAAGCAGUCCUCUCCAGGCACAAGUGGCGAAGGGCACUUCGUCACACAUCUUCCCUUUGGGGGGAAGACUAAACAGGUGCCUGACCUUCUGCCGGUCAGUACCUAGAUUAGUCGGGCAGCCCAC